rfam:Schistosoma mansoni strain Puerto Rico chromosome 4, complete genome
AUCCAGCUGACGAGUCCCAAGUAGGACGACACGCGCAUCCUGGAU